UACGGAAGGGCAGCAGUGGGGAAUAUUGCACAAUGGGCGCAAGCCUGAUGCAGCCAUGCCGCGUGUAUGAAGAAGGCCUUCGGGUUGUAAAGUACUUUCAGUCGUGAGGAAGGUGUUAAGGUUAAUAACCUUAGCAAUUGACGUUAGCGACAGAAGAAGCACCGGCUAACUCCGUGCCAGCAGCCGCGGUAAUACGGAGGGUGCGAGCGUUAAUCGGAAUUACUGGGCGUAAAGGGCACGCAGGCGGUUAAUUAAGUUGGAUGUGAAAUCCCCGGGCUUAACCUGGGAAUGGCAUUCAAGACUGGUUAGCUAGAGUCUUGUAGAGGGGGUAGAAUUCCAUGUGUAGCGGUGAAAUGCGUAGAGAUGUGGAGGAAUACCGGUGGCGAAGGCGGCCCCGUGGACAAGACUGACGCUCAUGUGCGAAAGCGUGGGGAGCAAACGAGGGAUUAGAUAC
rnacentral:rRNA from 1 species